UCGCCGUGAGUCCCCACUUGACCCUGUGGGCGCGCAUGCGAAGGACACGAACCAGCUGUGCCCCCACUGCGCUGCUCACGUUCUGCGCCUCUCUCUAGAUGUGGACUCCGACUGGCAAGACCUCAGAACUGCUCGCGAUGCAGCCCGCCCUCCAGGGCAGGGCCUCGCACCUAGGAGGCACUCAAUAAAUGCCCGGUGAAGGAUGCAUUCUGCCGCAGGGUCCUAGGCAACCAAGAAUUCCAGUGUGUGCUUUAAGCUUUUAGGCCUACGAGUAACUCCGGAAACGGAAGGCUGGAAAGGUUUCUCAAAGCCGGAGGCGCUUUUAUUCCCGGAGCUGACUGAGAACAAAGCAAAAGUCUUGACUUUAGACACGUGCGCCCCGGGACCGAGCUGAGUUCCCCACCCUGAACUGCGACUCAGCCUCGGUCUGGGGUCGUCCGUCCUGAGGGGUUGAAUAGGGAAAGCUGAAGAAGAGGAGAAGAAAGCGAGUGGGAAUGGAGGCAGCCCAGUGAGGGACGGGGACAGAGCGAGCUAGUGCUCUGGCCACUGAAGAAAAAGACGAAAAGAAAACGGAAAAUGCCUAUUUUCGUUAAAUAACUUUGAUUACCCUCCCCCGCCUCCUCUUUGUCGGCCACCGCGCUGACCAUGAUUGUGUACUGUUGGAUGCUCUCGAAUCGGAAUGACUGAGGUUCCUCUUUGAAAUGCUUGGUUAAAGACCGCAACGUCGUGAGAUGUCACCGGAGUCCAGACCUCGGAGCAGGUGGCGAGACGCCCCCGGCCCCGCGCGGUAGGGGGCGCACAAUCCCCUGCUUACCGCUGGAGGGUGAGACAGGACUCCGACUCCGCCCCAGCCCUCCGAGGCUGGGAGUCGGCUGCGCGCCUCCUCUCCCCCUUCCCCUGCGUCCUGUGCCUUGCGGAGGAAUGCUGAAGAAUGUUAUCCAACCACUUGUACUGUCAGGUAGAUGCACUGUCAGAAGCAACCGUAGAGAGAUACUGAUAAAAAUUCUGAAGAACAGAACGUCUGAGUAAGCUUAAUCUCAUUCCUGGAUCAGACUGAGUAAUGCUGACUGUUUACUAAAGCCCCACAGAAGAGGUGGGGGAUGCGUGGGGCUGAAGCACCGAAAGUGCACUUGGCGCUGCCUGAAUUCUCCCUUGUGACUGAAGACCUUGGAGAAAAGCAUUCACGAUUGUCGUGGAAAGUUAGAAAAUUCCAGUAACAGGACUAAGGAGGUGGAUCCGGCACUGAAAAGAAUCCAGGACUUCCACGUACAGCUAUAGUAUAGUAAUGCCACCAGUUUAGUCUUCUUGCUGUAAACAACCAUGAAAAUAGACAAAAUAUGUGAAGCACCUGUUAUAGACACUGGACAGAGGCAGUGCAAGACUGUGAUUGCCUAAGAGAGGGCUGCGGAAAUGACCUGAUGGUGGUAUAGCAAGCUGGAAUCGCAGCAGAGCAUGGUGUUCACACGGAGCUAAGGUAGAUAUCAGAGGACAGCUGAAGCAACUGGAAUCUGCAGAGAACCAGAAAGGAGAAGACAGUUUACAGGCUAGUUUUCAGAAAUCCAUACUGGGUCUCCUGACAGUCAUUUGCUGAGUGCUGGGCUGCUCAUGUGUGGAGAGCUACUACCAAGGCUUACCGGACGACAGAUGCUACAGGAUGGAAAACAGAACAGAGAUCUUAGAAGUCUCUGCUGGCAACAUUGGAAUUCAGGCUUUGUUAACGACUCUUUACCACCCUGAGUAUCCAGUUGAUACCCCAGAAAGGCUGCUUAAGGAGUAAAGACCACAACCUAGUGUGAGGCCUACUCUGGAUCCUCCCUAAAAAAGGAUAAAACAAAGACCUGACAAGAUUAGCAGGGUUUGGACGUUGAGUUACACCAAAGAGGGCUUUGGGAAACACCUUGGACUUUCCUCAGAUCUACUGAGAAACAAACCAUUAAUCCAGUCCUACACAAGUUCAAGGUCACUGGCCAGUAAUCAAAGUGCUUAAGUAGAACAAAAGUUGAUACUCUUUGGAGAAAGAUAUCAGAAUCCAGAGUCUCUACAUUGCAUCAUUCAAAGUGUCCAGUAAACAAUAAAAAAUACUAAACAUGCAAAGAAACAGAAAAAUGUGACCCAUUCAAUACCUAUUUUUAAUAAGGAAAACAAAGCAGUUAAAAGAAACCAACUCCAAGAAGAUGUCUCAGAUGUUGGAUUUAGCAUACUUUAAAGCAGGGUUGCAGAUUAUGUAUGGUUCAGCAACAUGGGUUCCACUCAUCAUGGCUAAUCUAGCUACAAUCACUAGUGGUGCCCAGUCAACAGCAGAGAACAACUCAGCCCCUGAUAUGACAGCAGUCCCUAAAUCGUUGAAUAAAGCCAAUUAGAUC